rnacentral:misc_RNA from 1 species
UCCAGUUUAUCACCGGCAGUCUCCCUAGAGUGGCCAGCAUAACCUGAUGCCAACUAAGAAUAAAGGUUGCGCUCGUUGCGGGACUUAACCCAACACUUCACAGCACGAGCUGACGACAGCCAUGCAGCACCUGUGUAAUUGUCUCUUGCGAGCCUGACUGUUUUCACAGCCAUUCAACUACAUGUCAAGCCUGGGUAAGGUUCUUCGCGUAGCCUCGAAUUAAACCACAUGCUCCACCGCUUGUGCGGGUCCCCGUCAAUUUCUUUGAGUUUCAGUCUUGCGACCGUACUCCCCAGGUGGUGGAUUUAAUGCGUUAGCUGCGGCGCUGGGGGGAUCGACACCCCCAACACCUAAUCCACAUCGUUUACGGCAAGGACUAC